rnacentral:rRNA from 1 species
AUUGAACGCUGGCGGCAUGCCUAACACAUGCAAGUCGAGCGCGCGGCGGACGGGUGUGUAAUGUAUAGGGACUGCCCGCUAGAGGGGGAUAAUCCUGGAAACGGUGUCUAUUACCGCAUACUGUCGGAUAACCCCUAUGGGAUUAGCUCGUAGGUAAGGUAAUGGCUUACCCAGGCGACGAUCCCUAGCUGGUCUGAGAGGAUGAUCAGCCACACUGGGACUGAGACACGGCCCAGACUCCUACGGGAGGCAGCAGUGGGGAAUAUUGCACAAUGGGGGAAAGCCUGAUGCAGCCAUGCCGCGUGUAUGAAGAAGGCCUUAGGGUUGUAAAGUACUUUCAGUAGGAGGGGUCCGACAGAAGAAGCACCGGCUAACUACGUGCCAGCAGCCGCGGUAAUAC